AGUCAGCAGUGAGAGUGGUCCUCAGGCCCAGAUAUUUAAGACUGCGCAAACUCUGUUUAUGGAAUGUAAAUGUCUGAGAAAAUAAAGGAAGUAUUCAAGUUCUCGUGCAUUUGGACAAGCACAUAACGAUCUUCCCUUCAUCUGUACUGGCAAACAGGUCUACCCUCAAGGCAUCAUCAACACGAAUAGACUAAUGAUUCAUAACUAAUCAAAAAGACCUUAAAUUUUCAGAAAUUUCACCACUGAUGUCUAGGGUAUGGCCAUUUUAAUGUGUUCUAAGCUGUUUUGACGGGAUUAGUUCUGUUGCUGCUAAAACAUUUAUUUAUUAGUUUUUCAGUAACCUAAUCUUUAUUGUAUAUUUAUGUUUAAAAUGUAAAACGUGCUCCCUGGUGUGCCAUCUGGUCAUAAAGAUACAGGUCCACAUGAUCCUGUCUGUGCAUAUGACAAGUCUGUAGUAUCAGUCGGUCAGACAGUUCACUCCCGCGGUUAUGAAAUACUCCUUGCGUGCAGCCUAAUCCACCCAUCAUUCGACCUUUUGAAAUGUUAUCUACCUUCAUACCCAGACAUCGUAAACACACCUCCUGGGGUAGCAGGGCAGUGAAAACAGGCUCCCGGUGAGCGCAUUGCUGGGUAGCCAAAGUGAGGAACCGAGUGAGAUGGUUGUUGUUAUUACCUGUUAGCAAGUCAGACACCCGCCGCGCGGUCAUUGUAAAGUGCGGCGAGGUUGCCGCGCGGUUCUAUUGUGGCAAGAACGCGGGAAAGGAUUCAAUAAAAAUACUAAGAAUAAUAUUUUUUGUUGGUAAUAACAAAGGCCACAUCGUCACAAAUAAUCCAUGUCAACAUCGUCUUUGUCAUCUUCAUCGUCAAUGUGGUAGCAGAAGCAGGACGCGAUCACUGUACUACAGUACUGCGAUAUUGAGAUGAUGUGAUGUUGUAAUAUUGUAAUUCUGUAAUGUUGUGAUUCUAUGAUAUUGUGAUGCUGCAAUUUUGUGAUGUUGUGAUGCUAUGUGUUCUAAUACGCAAUAUACUUUGCCGCUUUCUUUCACAAAAGACCGACUAGAAAAGUGAGCAAGACUAGAAAAGAAAUCGUCUCUGUGAUUUUCCAGGGUAUACUAAACUUUCAAAGACACAAGAUUAAAGAAGAUGACUAAGUGCACUUGUGGGGGCCAGUCUAAGCAUUUCAAAACAACUUUGUAGAUGAAGGGUAUUUGUAGAACGAGAUACGGAUAUGAGGUCAAGUAACAACGAUUGCCACCACUAUGUUCAGUGUGUGUCUGAACUUCGUCUCUAAACUUAUAUUUUUUAAAGUUUCAGACAUAGUUUCAUUGGUGGGACUGCUGGUAGCUUAGUCGCUGGUGUGCGGCCCCACUGACAAAGAAAACACACAUUCAGAAAGAACUUAGGGGUACCAAAAGCGGGAUUCGAACGCACGAUACCAGAUCCUCGCACUCUCGGUGACAAGCGCCUUACCGUUGUGGCACCGAACGCGGUUCAACCGGUGCGCGUUCCCGUGGUUACUGAUGGACCCUCCGCUUCCAUACCACUAUUAACAUUUUCUCGCACAUACUUUAACAUUAUUAGGUUCUGUGCAACAUUAUUAGGUUACGUGCAAUAUUUGCUUACACGUUACAGGUUGUUUUUUUACUACACAUCUUUAACAUGCUCACAUACAUACAAGAUCUUUACCAGAAGUUACUUAAAUACAGUUAACAGACAGUAUUCGUCUAGUUUGUUCCUCUUUAGCCACUACAAGCAUAUCACACUAACACUAGUGGUCUAGUUUACUUCCCUGCCCUCUGCCCUCUGUUCUAGAUGUUACCAUUCGUCGAGGUCAACAAAAUAACGAUCUUUGUAAUAAGUGAAAUAGAACAGUGAAACUUAAAAAACAAACUUGUUUACCACAGUGCGGUAAGGUUCUGUUUUAUUAAAGCCAGACUCACACAGGUUAGCUAAGUGGAAUGUAAGAAUGUAAGUAUGGCUGUUUACAACAAACUUUCUGCUGAUGAUGGCCAUAAAUGGAGACAUUCCCCUCAACUUCUUCCCCACAUUUAUGUUAACCUUUAUGGGCGAUUUUUAAACGGAAAUCUAGUUUUAUUGCAGACAUUUUCAAAGACUUUUCUUCUACCAGCUUCAUUCAGCCAAGUCAAAGGGCAUGAAACCGGCUUCAGAUAAUUGUGUCUGCUCGACUGCUGCUUUUUAUGAAGUGGAGCCAGUACAGGCACGCGCUUUAAUAAGUACGCCAGGUACAAAGAGAUUUCGCUGUACCACAAUAUCGAAUCCUGCUUCAAUAAACUAGACAAUGUGUCACUGUUUGAUAGAGAUAAGAGUAGAAGCUUCGAGAAAUGAAAGUCUCCUGUAAAGCGCUAUAUAGUGUACGAAAACGAGGCUGGUUAUUAUUUUUAGCGGCGGCCUACGGGAUUCGAAAGCAAGGCAUUGUUCCUGUCGCGUGAGGUAUAUUUGAAAAACGAAGACAACGAAUAGGUAUUAUUUUCUCGCGUGUGUUGAAUUAUAUAAAGCUCACAUUGAAAACAUAGACACUGAUUUCUGUGGUCUUCUACACACGUUUAAAUAUAUAGGUAAAAGAAUUUGACAAACAACUUGUUUGUGACAGGUCCACAAGAGUUGUUUUUAAACAAGUUGGCUGAGAAAAUUGCAAUAUGGAAAUUCCCUAAAUAUGUGCAAGCAUUUCUCCCUUCUGUUAGCUUUCAAACAUUCACAUGCGCAGACGUCAUGGAGGAAACGGGAUCCGCUUACGUUGUCAAGAUUACAGCCAAUGGGAGAGCUGCGAGCGUGAUUUAAGAAGACGUGUCCAUGUAAUUGGGAACUGUCUGGGUACAGAUGAAUAUGUCCACAAGCAUGUUCACACGGGGCGAAGUCUUGAUGCAGGUGAAAAUGUCGAUGCUCGUAUACAGUUUAUCCCAAUCAUAAGUAAAUUAUUACUUUAUAUUUGUGAGAAACUAGUCAAUGUGGAUCAAAAAGGAUCAAUCGGUAGAAAUAGAGAUGUGAGACUACACUUCCUUUUCUGAUUAUUACUUUGUUUACAUCAAAGCUAGUUAAUUAGAUCACACCCGGUUAAAGAUUAAAUUACAGGUCAACAUGUCUUUAGUCUUUGUUACAUUCUGUUGCUAUCUUUGCUCUCUUUUAUUUGUUACAUCAAUUUUUAGCCAAGUUUUCUGUCUGAUAUCUACGCUGUGUAAUAGUAGCAAAGGCAAACACAUAUAUUACUGUUCCACGCCCAUUUCCUCCUGUUGCCACUCGUGCCUGGAUGUUUUGUUGUUGUUGGCUUUUAUUUUGUUGUUGUUGUUGUUUUGUUCUUUGGGGUUUUUUGGUUGUUGUUGUUGUUGUUUUAUUUAUUUUCUUUUUUUUUUUUUUGCUACUAAAACCUGAAUGUUCUGUCAACCACCGAGGGAGAUAAAUGCGAAAACUUGGCGUAGUCUAGCCGCUUCGUUUGCAGGGGAGAGUAACUGAUGUUUAUCUCGCCACUGUUGCACACGACAGCUACUGCGUCAUCCCAGCCUAACGACAGGUAAACACAGGUCACCACACUAUUAGUCGGCUGUUUUCCUGUCCCCAUGAUGGAGAAAUCAAACAAUUCAUGUCUGUUGUCAACAGGCACUCCACUGACCGAUUGUCAACACGGUAUUCCCAUCGGCUUUCAGUCAACAAUGCUUGACAAUUACAAGGCUAAUGGCGACGCCCUCAAAUUCUCCAUAGGCUUCAAGGGAUUCAAGGAACUCAAACUGAACUUCAAAAUGGCUGCUACCAUACAUCCCGUAGCUCGUGACAAGAGCUGUGGGAGCCCAUCGAUGGCUUUGCAACCUUAAUUCAAUUCCUUCCAACAGUUUUCAGACCACAGUCAAAGACUUCUUCCAGAGUCUCCAAAAAAUGAAAUAAUAACAAUGAAAUUAGAAACUUUCCUUUAACCAACAUCUUUUUGCCGGUAGCAUCUGUUAUAUUUUUAUAAAGACUUGCUAAUACAUUGCUUACACGUUU